UACAGAGGGUGCGAGCGUUAAUCGGAAUUACUGGGCGUAAAGCGCGCGUAGGCGGCUUGUUAAGUCGGAUGUGAAAUCCCUGGGCUCAACCUAGGCAUUGCAUUCGAUACUGGCAAGCUAGAGUAUGGGAGAGGAAACUGGAAUUUACGGUGUAGCAGUGAAAUGCGUAGAUAUCGUAAGGAAGGCCAGUGGCGAAGGCGAGUUUCUGGACAGUUACUGACGCUGAGGCACGAAGGUCAGGGGAGCAAACGGG
rnacentral:rRNA from 1 species